GCCGGUGACAAACCGGAGGAAGGUGGGGAUGACGUCAAGUCAUCAUGCCCCUUACGCCUUGGGCUACACACGUACUACAAUGGCCGGGACAAAGAGUCGCAAGCAUGCGAAUGCAAGCUAAUCUCAUAAACCCGGUCUUAGUUCAGAUUGCAGGCUGCAACUCGCCUGCAUGAAGGCGGAAUCGCUAGUAAUCGCAGGUCAGCAUACUGCGGUGAAUACGUUCCCGGGCCUUGUACACACCGCCCGUCACACCAUGGAAGCUGGUCACGCCCGAAGUCGUUAUCUCAACCCGCAAGGGAGGGAGGCGCCUAAGGCAGGGCUGGUGACUGGGGUGAAGUCGUAACAAGGUAGCCGUACCGGAAGGUGCGGCUGGAUCACCUCCUUA
rnacentral:rRNA from 1 species